AGUGCAUAUGUGAUAUUUUAUUAUGUAUACAUAGGUUCCUUCAAUCCCUUAAACAUUUCUAGCUUUUUAAGCCAUUUUGGAUUUCUCCAAAAUCUUUUCUCACCCUUUGUUUUAAAUGAGUUUUAUUUUGUUUGCAGUUAGAUCGCUUGCAUAAUGCGAAAGGCAUAGAUUAAUGCGAUAUUACCCACGCAGGGGUUCAGUUUUUGCAUAGACUUAGG